rnacentral:tRNA from 1 species
UGGGGUAUAGCUCAGUGUGUAGAGCUCAUGCUCAGCAUGCAUGAGGUCCUGGGUUCAACCCCCAGUACCUCUA